CUCCACUUAAUCCAUGUUUCUACUAGACACUUCCAAGAGCAACAUUAUUUUUGCAUUGACUAUGGAAUUACCUGUUACCACUUUCUGACCCUAGUAACAUGCUUUAGCCUAGUGUAGGCUCACUCGGGUCUCCGUCAUGCCUCGUUUGUGGUGACGUCAGAAGGAAGCGACGAAGUGAAGUUCGUUGUCGCGUGUUGUAAGAAAAAAGAAAAUAAACGGUCUUCCACUAAUAGGUGACAAAUACACCAAGACCCAACGGUUAAGGCCUCCCCGAUUAUUUCAUUCCGUGUUUUGUGUUUAUGUGUAGUCUCAAACUCCACCCUUCUUGGAAUCUGAUGUUUGUUUAUUCAAAUUUCCAUGCUGACUUUGAACACAUCUUUGGACUGCUGGACCAACGUCAUCGUGAUGUCAUAGUCAGGUUGUUAUGAAGCGGACGGAUGCACAACUCUGGUAUACACUUGAAAAGAACCAAUCAUGUGACAUGUCAACUUCAGGUUGUUUUGAAUGUGACUGAUGCACACGCAGAACUGGUAUACAGUACAAGUUGACAAAACUCAGUCGGUACUAUCAUGGCUUUCAUGAAAAAUAAAAAACACUCACCAGAAUACAGGUUUAGAAAAUUGGUUUUGCUCUGACUAAAUAUCAGCGGAUGGAAAAAUUUAAAGAAACAACCCCAUUGCUAAUUGUUUUAGUUAUAUGGGCAGGCACUGCUAAUUCUGAAGGUUCUGGGAAGAUUGUGUUGAUAUGGCAACACAAAAGCUGAAAUCUGAUUGGACAAAAACAAA